UCCGCUCGGCCUAUCGCCAGAGGCAGGAGUGCACCGUGCACCGUACAUCAAGUCCAUUAUCUCUGUGGUCCUAACCCCCCACCCCCUCUAAUCUUCGUGCACCGUCAUCAUGCAUAGACACCAGCAGCAGCAGCAGUCUCCCGGAUGAAUAAUUUUGCAGCCGAUCUGCGUUAAUCUGGUCAAUUGAUAGGCCGAUCCCUGGCUAAUCCGACAGCGGAGGAUUCGAACCAGGUGGAAAAGUUAUUUUGCUGCUCGUAUCACACAGGUGGAAAUAGAUUGUAAGAGUUGGUUCGUCUGGCUAGAAGAUAUGGAUAACUGGCAUUCCAUAAAUAAAAGUUAAAAAAGCUGUAGGUCCUCCCCGACGUCGUCGAUGAUUCAAAGAAGGCAUUAUCCAAGUUAUAUCACAGUUCACAAAUAAAGAAUAAAAUUACAACGCUUACAAAAUUGAAAACAAAUCUGUAGGUCCUCCCCGGCGUCGUCGAUGAUUUUGGCUACGGUGAUGCUCGUUGGACCUACUGGUUACUUUGAAGACACCAAGAUAUUCUGUAGUGUGCAGCCUCGUCCUCAGCGACCUUCAAAUUCCCUUCUUUGGCUUCUUGGUUCCAAGACCAAAAACCACGAAUGAGAUCUGACUUGUGCUUAAAGCUACGGGUUGAAUUUCGCUUUGUCUUCUAGUGCAGAGAACAACAACAAAAAAUAACGAAAGGACGAAGCAGUUUGGGAAAAUAUGGGGACAUUGUUUAUGCAUAAGAUGGCCAUACAUUAAAUGAACUUUUUCGAAGAGGGUCUGAAUUCCAAGCCAGUCGAAUGUAUUGUACCUCUACUCUCCUUACAUUAUGGUCUGGCAACUAUGCGAAGUGCUGGAAAAAUUCAUGCAAGCAAUUCACUUACCAGUACUCUGUCUGAUCGCUCAUCCUUUCCCAGGUUUUGCAGAGAAAUCUAGACAAAAUCUUUGCAAUUUUUUAAUUAUGAUUCUCAUAAAAAAAGCUCCAACAUUUUCGAUUAAAUUUAAAUUUCGGUGAUAAAAACGGAUUCUCCCCGCAAACCCAUGAAAAUCAAGUGCUUUGGAUAAAAAUCAAGUGUUUUGGAUCUGUAAUUUAGUUAAUCUACCUCAUAGUAAUGCAGGUAAUAAUAAUUAAAGUACAUAACACUGGGCAAGCCCUGUUAAGGUCGAGCAGUAUAACUCUUAAGUUCUUGUUGAACUACUCUAAAGUAUGAUAGUAGAGGUGCCUUAUCUUAUAUUUUUUAUGGAAUAUUUUAUUUUAGUAUUCAUCAUUUGUACCGUUACGUUACUAUUUUUUGGUACUUCUGUAUCGCCACUUCUCUUUUCGUUGAAGGAGCAAUUUUCAGUUAUGUGGUUUAGUCUAUUGUCUACAUUGUGGACACUUGAGCACGUUUUAGUAACUGGUUAUCUUCCAGUUUGGAAUAAUCUGAUUUCUACGUUAUACUCGUAAUGUUUUUCAUAUACUAGUUAAUUAUGCAUUUUUAGCUUUGACGAAUCAUUUCUUUCAUUUGUGUAUAUGACAUUUGUAAUCGUUAAUGGUAAUUUACCACUGAUUAUAGUUUUUAGAAGACUGUUAUCUACUCCAAGAGUUCGUUAAGGUAUAUACAAUUAUUUUGUGUUCAAUUUAAAAUUAUGUAUUUAUUUGACUAAGCAGACUAUGUAGCCUAGGACUAUUACCUCCGAGGGCUACUACCCCGUAAGGCAAUUACCCCUUAGGGCAAUUACCCCCAAGGACAAUUACCCCUCAUUAUUAUAUGCUGCUUGUAGAAAAGGAUAACUUUAAAAAUAUACCAUGAUAG